UCUAAAUUUUUAAGUCGAAUCAAAAGUUGUAAUCCAGCUGGCAGGAGAAACAGGCCGGAUUUUGAAUGAAUCUAUGUACCUACGUCUUCCGUGUUAUUGCGCUCGGCUAAUGCAGUCUUGGAAUCUGCAAGUUCCGACACUAAAAUCGACCAACAGUGGUCUGUUGGAUUAACGUGAUUGCUGCAGUGAGAUUUUCAUAUUCCUUAGAAUAUGUCUACGAAUAUCUUUUCAAGGUUCUCAAGCCGCAAAAGAACUUGAUUGAGAUCUGGAUUACCUGCCCCGGCAUCAGCGCUUGAGGUUGUAUUGCUAUUUGUCUCAUCCUUCUUUAUCACGUUUGUGCAGUCGACUCGCUUGUGUUAUUCAUGUUGUCCAAAGCAAAAUUAAUAAUUAUAAAAAAUUAGCAAGGAAAAGUUAAACAUUAGCAUCGCAUUACAAAACUAAAAUUUGGAGGUAGUACUUGCUAUGCUACUACCCAUUUUUUUUUUUAAGCUUAUCGUUUAGGCAUUACCUGUAAAUUCGUAAAACUGUCUUCGACUGUUUUAAGUUUUUCAAACAGAUAGUUCAAUGGAAUUAGCUGACUUCGCAUCCAACGUUUCUCGUCCUCGUAAUCCCGUAAGAAAGAUGUUUGAUCAAAUUGUUGAGAAUCUGUUAUCAAUCACAAGUGCACGAAUUUAAGGAAACAUUUUUGCUGAUAGUUAUUUCUGUGACAUUUUCAUAUUUUAAAGGUUCUAUAUCAAAAUGUGUUGCUCGACUGGUGUCUGUUUCGUUUUUUAAACCAACGCUUUGAUUCGCGUCUACUGAUGUCACUGUGUUAUCUUUCAGCUCAGAUCCGGACGUUGAGUUUUCGUGCGGCAAGGCCACUUCCAUAGUUGCAUUGACUUUAGCUCAAGAAAACUUUCAACGGAUUUUAUGAAAUUUUUACGGUCCUCCUGCACCUGAGGAGUCGUCUUUAGUCGUUUCCAUGCAGUGGAUAUUAGAGUUGCAGAUGUAGGAUUGAAAAGUAAACUAAAAAUAACUAGUGCAACGAAUGUCCAUCUGCGUAAUUCACUACCCAUGGUAAAACUGUUGGGCUUAGCAAUGCAAGGCGAUAUUGUUAUCCUGGAAAAGGACGAUGAUACGCGUCCGUCGACUUAAAACACAGAUGCACUGAAGCUGACUUUGCUCCAAGCAAGUACAACGCGCAACUGGCUACGGAAUGGCGGAUGGAACUCAUGCAACAGGGGGGGUUGCCAGGAAGGUAUCGCAUCCGCCUAGCAACCCCAACGUCCGUGGUUCGAUUCCACGUAGGUUCCUAAUGUCCUGGGCUUCCAAGCUUCCCAGGUGGCCACCCUUCCACGUCUGCCAGUCGGGUCGAGAAACUUCCCCAUUAAGAAGUAAUGGGACGGAUAUUUUGGCAAUGUUUAAUGCAAUUCCCAAUAAUAAAUUUUAAUAAAUUAUUCUUUUCGAUUUAUUGGCUUUAAUGGGCAAUUUUGUUCUUUGAACACUUUGCAAAGGACUUUAACCAUUUGCAUCCCCUGCCGAGGACUUCAUAAAUACCGCUUGAUCAUAUUAAGAUAGUAUUAUAUUUUCAUUCAACUGAAACUAUUGAUAUUUAUGUUAAUUCUGCUGACUCUUUUGGGAUUUAAACCCUUAUCCUUCGGCGUAUAGUGCCGAUGCUCUACCACUAAGCUAUAAGUCAUAUUAACUAGCUGUUUAUAUUUUCGUGUUAAUUGAGUUCAACAAAUUUUGACUUAGAAUAAUUUUUGUAGCAUGAUUCAAGAUAAUUUCCUAUUAUCAUGUCCACAAUAAAUUCAUAUAAUAGAAAUGCAAUACAGUAUAUGUUUUAAUCUGUUAAACUUCAACCGGGCUUUGAACCAGAGAUCUUUGGAUCCGUACACCAACGUUCUGCCACAGAGCUAUGAUCCUCAAGUACAAGCUAUUCAGGUUAGCAUAUAUUUUUACGAGCCUAUUAAAAUUUCCUUUUUUUUCUAGACUUCUAAUAUUAGUGCAAAAUUAAAUGUAACUCGUGGCUCAACGGUUGAGCAUCGGUAAUGCACGCCGAAAGUUUGAGGGUCGAUACCCGAAAGAGUUAAAUUAAGAUCUGUGAAAGUAUUCCAAUAAAAGUAACCCAUAUAUAUAAAGAUUGUAUAAAAAUCAUUCUGCAAGUAAACAGAACUCUCGUAAAUUUGAGAUUCAAUUAUAUACAACAGCAAAUUACAAACGCCAGGAUUGGAAUAUCAUCGGCAAUAAUUCAAGGCAAUCCAGGAAUUCACAGUACAAGAACUGCACAUCAGUGGUCAUCUCAGCAGUGUUAAUAGUCCAAACCUUAAAAAAAAGAAAUGCAAAUAACAGAAAUGUAUGGAGUGCAAACACCAAGAAAGCAGGAAAGACAAGUUUUUCAAAAUUAAUGUAUAAUAACCAUUUCAAAAAUUGCUGUCAACCAACGCAGGGAGAGACACUGCCUCAAUUGACUCACCGGGGAGAUUACCCAGUGCUUGGCUAAUAUUGGUCCUAUAGUUUUUCAUUUACAUGUUAAAAACCAUAAAUGAAGUUGGUGCGCUAA